UACGAAGGGGGCUAGCGUUGUUCGGAAUUACUGGGCGUAAAGGGCGCGUAGGCGGCCUGUUAAGUCGAACGUGAAAUCCCCGGGCUCAACCCGGGAACUGCGUCCGAUACUGGCAGGCUUGAAUUCGGGAGAGGGAUGCGGAAUUCCAGGUGUAGCGGUGAAAUGCGUAGAUAUCUGGAGGAACACCGGUGGCGAAGGCGGCAUCCUGGACCGAGAUUGACGCUGAGGCGCGAAAGCCAGGGGAGCAAACGGG
rnacentral:rRNA from 1 species